GAAGAGCCUAUGGUAGAUAUUUACCUCAGUCACUAAUGAUUUCAGUUUGCUAGCAGUAUCUUUCUUAAGUUGCUUCUUCCGCUUUGCUCUCAGCUCUUCUGUCCUCAUACCCAAGAAGGGGUGAAAAAUAAAGAGUUGUGUCAGUAUCAGAGACAAGCGACGAAAAAGAUACAACAGAAUAAAGAAGAAUAUAGUUUCCACUAGCUUAGUAACAAAACAAGACCUGCAAUACCAGGAAAAAAAAGAAUUUGCCAUGUUACUCUGCCCAUAUAAGUACGAAAUACAUAAAUAAAAUGAAGUUUUGACAGUGUCCACAAUUGAAUAGUUGCAGAAACAGUUUUAACCUCCUUAAAAGAUUCGACGACAAUGUGGCAAGCAGGGAUAAAAGGAAAACAAGAGGACGAAACAAAGAAAAAGGACCACCGACCUUUUGCUGCAUUAACCUGGUUCAGAAUAUAAUCCCUCUCCUGGGGAUCGAGUAAUAACUGCUGGGCUUUUGCUAAAGCUGUGAAUAUAAUGAGAAUGAAUUUGGGUCAAAAUAUUUCACGAGAACAGAAAAAUUAGAAUGGUUUUAACCAACUCAAGCAGUAACAUAGCAAAUUUAUCAGAACUUCCAUCUACAAAACUACAACAAAGCUUUAGAAGACUAAUUUUGACAAUGAUGAUAGGGUUUUAACUCCUUUCUGAAACACUUUAUUGCUUCUUCUAAUUCUGUGUGACUUGACAUGUAUGGCAAUGUUUCUCCCAAUAAAUGAGCGAAGUUGUCACUCCAAACAGAUAUUUUGACCGAUGGUCACAUUGCGGCGUCCUUUGAA
rnacentral:lncRNA from 1 species